CACGGGGUUGCGAGCGUUGUCCGGAAUUACUAGGCGUAAAGGGCGAGGCAGGCGGAUCCAUAAGUUUAUCGUUUAAGGCGUCGGCUUAACCGGCGUAGGGCGGUAGAUACUGUGGAUCUGGAAUGCGGUUGGGGAAGACAGAAUUCCUGGUGUAGCCGUGGAAUGCGCAGAGAUCAGGAGGAAUACCGAAGGCGAAGGCAGUCUUCCAAGCCGUUAUUGACGCUCAACUGCGAAGGUGUGGGUAUCAAACAGGAUUAGAUACCUGUGUAGU
rnacentral:rRNA from 1 species